rnacentral:tRNA from 1 species
CGCGGAGUGGAGCAGUUGGUAGCUCGCCAGGCUCAUAACCUGGAGGUCGCACGUUCGAAUCCUGCCUCCGCAACAA